CAGCCACCUACAAAAAUAAAGCUCAAAUACAGAUUCACCCAAGUCGUCAUCACAUCAGUACAGGAGAUGGAAUUCCAUGUUAAACUAGUAUUUUGGCUUUGGUGCCUGGCCCAGUUAUGUAUUCAAAGCUCAAAGGAGGACUGGGGAAACACUAUACAAAGGAGAAAGUCCCAGGAGAAUUGCUGACUAACACUGAACAAAGAGCGAGCAGGAGAGGGGGGAGGCACACACUCACAUGCACAGAAAUGUGGAUCAAAGAGGCUGUGCUGCAUGCCAGUACUGUUUACUCAACUUGCUUUCAGCUUCAAACAUCACAUAAGCCUUUGCGAUCAGAAGCUGCUGUGGAAACCUCGCUCACUUCUCAGUGAAGAGUGCUAAAUAAAAAAGUGUUGCUAAACGAGACUGAAGUUGGUGGUAGCGCAUCAGGAGUUCAGUCUGGACCGGCUGCUGGGCGCUGACCUGGCAAACCUGACAGGGAGAAAGGUAUUCAAAGCGCAUCGGAGGACAGAACACCUGGUUAUGCAUAUCCAUGAUCUUGUGCUUGUCACUGCGGGAGUCCAG